GUCUGACGGAGCAACGCCGCGUGAGUGAUGAAGGUUUUCGGAUCGUAAAACUCUGUUGUUAGGGAAGAACAAGUAUCGUUCGAAUAGGGCGGUACCUUGACGGUACCUAACCAGAAAGCCACGGCUAACUA
rnacentral:rRNA from 1 species